GCGUGAUAAUUCGCCUCUUAAUUGCAGGCUUGUACGAAUGGACAAACGAGAGAAAAGCUGUCUCCUACUUAAACAUAAAAAUUAGUCUUCAGGUGAAGAAACCUGAAUAAAAUUAAAGGACAAGAAGACCCCGUAGAGCUCUGUCCUAACUCCUUAUAUUUCUAAAUAUUACUAUAUUAAAUCUAUAAGAAAAUAAAGACUUAGCUGGGGCGGCUAAGGAUAAACAAAAUCAUCCAUUUACCACUAUCCCUAUAUAAAUAUUAAAGCAUAUAAGCUAAAAAAUUGACCCUUACCAAGACCAAAAAAUAUAGCUACCUCGGGGAUAACAGAUUUAUCCUUCUUGAGAGUUCACAUUGACAGAAGGGC
rnacentral:rRNA from 1 species